UUUACAUACUGUUCUUCUGUUGUAUUUCUUUGUAGAGAAGAAAACUCAAAAGGCCACCAAGCAGAAAGUCAAGUCAUCAGUCCAUGGUCCCACUGGGCUCGUGGAAUGAAGAGAUGAAAUCUCUGUGGUUGUACAAUGGUCCAUGAGGAGGCUGAUGACAGCAGGGAAGGAUAAAACAAAUGGGAAAUAAGUAUUUAUUUUAUCAGUUUAUGACUCCUAAGGAACUGCUCCACUGUUUGAAACCAGUAAAUUUUUCCUCUGCCUUCACACCUUCAUAUCAAGAGUCUGAUAUACACUGGAAACAGAUGGAAGACAAAAUCUGAGAGACAAAUGAAGUUUCCAGUACCAACAAAUGCAUCAGAUCAUUAGCAAAUCAUGAUUUGUCAAAGGCACCUCAAAAGUCAGCAUCAAGAUAUGUUUUGUCAAGUAGCUGCUUGGGCAUCAUUGGACCUGAUACUACCACUCAGGGUGAAGGUAUAUGCAGGAACACGGGGCAGGCAGUGUGUCCUCAUCAUGCUCUUAGCUUCUCAACAAAUCCAUGGAGCAGAUUCCCAGGUGAACUCAAGUUUGGAACCCUAUAGUUGAUCAUGAUCCUUGAAGGAGGAAACGUUGAAGCCAAGCAAAGAGAAGAAUCCUUUAUCCUUAUCCUUAUUCCUGCUGAGCCGUGAGCUGAAUCUCCCAGGCAACUAGAAGAGCAAAGGUAGGAUAAAACACAUCUCUUGUUGAUGGCAGGAGGCCUUAUCUUCCACAGCUGGGAAACCAGGACUGUUUGAUUGGUGCUUAGAAUUACAAAAUCAG
rnacentral:lncRNA from 1 species